rnacentral:rRNA from 1 species
CCUACGGGAGGCAGCAGUGGGGAAUAUUGGGCAAUGGGCGCAAGCCUGAACCAGCAAAGCCGCGUGAAGGAAGAAGGCUCUAGGGUUGUAAACUUCUUUUUAGAGGGAAGAGCAGAAGACGGUACCUCUUGAAUAAGCCACGGCUAAAUAAGUGCCAGCAGCCCAGGUAAUACGUAGGUGGCAAGCGUUGUCCGGAUUUACUGGGUGUAAAGGGCGUGUAGCCGGGCUGACAAGUCAGAUGUGAAAUCCGGGGGCUCAACCCCCGAACUGCAUUUGAAACUGUUGUUCUUGAGUAUCGGAGAGGCAGGCGGAAUUCCUAGUGUAGCGGUGAAAUGCGUAGAUAUUAGGAGGAACACCAGUGGCGAAGGCGGCCUGCUGGACGACAACUGACGGUGAGGCGCGAAAGCGUGGGUAUCGAACAGGAUUAGAUACCCCAGUAGUC